UCAUAAGCUUGCGUUGAUUAAGUCCCUGCCCUUUGUACACACCGCCCGUCGCUACUACCGAUUGGAUGGUUUAGUGAGGCCCUCGGAUCGGCCCCGCCGGGGUCGGCCCACGGCCCUGGCGGAGUGCUGAGAAGACGGUCGAACUUGACUAUCUAGAGGAAGUAAAAGUCGUAACAAGGUUUCCGUAGGUGAACCUGCGGAAGGAUCAUUAACGGAGAACGCGGCGGCGGCGGCGGCGGCGGAGGCGCCCCGUCCUUCCCGUCCGUCCGCUCGCCCGCGAAGCCUUCCCCCGUGCGGUGCGGGCGGGCCGGCGCGGUGCCGGCCCGCUGGCCGCGAGGGACGUGAGAGAGCGGGAGCGCGUGUGUGCGUGUCCGUCCGUGGGGCGAGGACGGGGCCGCGUGAGGAGGAGGCAGGGGGAAGGAAGGGGCCGCGCCCGCCGCCGGGAGGCGCGGUGGAAGCGCGGCGGUGGCGGUGGGCGGGCCUGGCGUCGGUCGGUCGGGCGCCCGCCGGGAGGGGAAGGGAGGGGGUGUCGUCGGCGACGACGGCGUGUCGUGGGGGGGGAGACGGGCCCCGCGCCCGCCUCCCUUUCUCGGACGUCGCCGUCCCGGCCCCCCCCCCACCGUGUCCCUUCCGGGGGGGGUCCGCCUCCUCCGUCUUGCCCGCUCGCCUGGGGCUGCCGCCGGGUCGUCCACUCGCCGCCCCCUCGGCGGCGGCGGCGGCGGCGGCUCGUCCCCCUGCCCCUCCGGGGCCCCCCUCCCUUCCGCGGCCCGCCUUUCGCCUUCCGGCGCCGGUCGUUCCCCGGUCGCCGCGUCGCCCCGCACGGGGGUGCCCUCGGCGCGUCUCGGGACGCGUGCGACGCGGCGGCGGUGCCCUCCGCGGUGUCGUCGUCGUCCUCCUCCUGCGGGGGGGGGAGCGUCGGCUCGCGCGGGGGCGCCCGCCGCCCGGCGCGCGCCUCCCGCCGCCCGCCCUGGACGGUCCUCCGGUCAGGCGGGCGUCCGCGCCAUCUCCGCCCUCCCGCUCGUCGCCUCUCCCUCUCCCACCCCGGCCCACCCCCCGCCUCUGGGGCCUCGGGGCCCGGGUCCGGCUCUCCCCUUCUCCGUCGCCGCCCCCGCCGCCCCCCUCCCCUGGCCCUGCCCGCUCACGCCCCGCUUCCCGCUGCGGGCCCCCCCCGCCCUCCGUGGCGAGGCGGGGCCCGGGUCGCGGUUGUGGGGAGGGCCGGGGGUCGGCCGGCCGGGUGUUUUCUCCUAAGGCGAGGCGAGGUGGUGGCUCCCGGGGGUGUUCCUCGGAAGCGAGGGGAUCCGGCCGGCCCCGCCCCCGGUGGCUUUUGGGGGCGGGGGAGAGACCGGGGAGAGAGAGGGAGGAGAUCGGAACAUCGGGUCUUUCGUGACCUCUCCACAGAUAGAUAGGAGUGAGACCAAGGCUAUAUACUUUGUUGGCGUCUCGUCUGUGUCUACGUGUCCCUGUGGGUUCUACGAGGGAGAGGUUUCCUCUACCUCCGGAUGCUAUAUUGCUAACAUCCCUUUGUAAAGGAACUGUAGCUUAUGGGAUCCCUGGGUGGCGCAGCGGUUUGGCGCCUGCCUUUGGCCCAGGGCGCGAUCCUGGAGACCCGGGAUCGAAUCCCACGUCGGGCUCCCGGUGCAUGGAGCCUGCUUCUCCUUCUGCCUAUGUCUCUGCCUCUCUCUCUCUCUCUCUCUGUGUGACUAUCAUAAAUAAAUAAAAAUUAAAAAAAAAAAAAAAAAAGGAA
rnacentral:lncRNA from 12 species